ACUAUGGUCCAGAAUUCGUUUUUUUUGGCAUAAAGUCGAAAUUUUUAUGUGAAUGGAUUACGUUUUUUCUUGCAAAUUCUCAAAGUAAAUUCAUCAUACAUAUUAAAAAUGAAAAAAAAAAAAUUAUUUAGCUUCCCUGAAGAUUUUGGCGAGCUUUUGAAAGUGAAAAAUCGAUCAGGUGAUUGUGGGAAAAAAAUUGGCGCCAAAUUACUUGUUUACAUUUUUACGUGGCGACCGAGUAAAUUUGCUCAAAUAAAUUCGGCUAAAAAUGGAAAAUGAAGAUAAAGGUAUGUAGUAUCUAAUGUAUUUAGUUAUUUUAUGUGUAGUCCCAAGAUUUAAGCGUUGUGCAAUGUCCAAUUUACGUGCAUUUUUGUAGAAAAUUUAACUGCGUCCCCUGUGUUUUGUAGAAUAUAACAAAUGAACUGAGUUCUGCUGAGAAAAACUAACUAUGAAAGUUCGAGUUUUUGCAUAGCGAUCUCAUCGAUAUUUGGCGCAACAACAAUCGACAAAAAAAAUCUGUCUCACAUUGGAUUUACAGUAAAAUCAAUAACAACCAUUUGGAAAAUGAAAAAAAAAGAGAAAUAGAUAAAAAAAAUCAGUAAUUUUGAAUCCUUCAUUAAAAGAAACCUUCUGAAGUGCAACAAAAUGAUGGAACGGUUUAUGACCACCCAUGCUAAAUGGAUGGCUUCUAAAAUAACAAUUAUUGUUGAUUAAAAUUGUAAGACACCAAAGAAAAUGGGACGUCCAACAUUACAUUAUACAAAUGCAGGGACAAGAUUAAAAAGGAAACUGGCGUCUGAUCUUGCAAAUGAUAAUAAUAAUAACACGAAUCUUCUUAUGCAUGCUGCGGCAGUUUCUGCUAAGAAAGAACGCAAGACCUACGUGGCUUUUGUCGUAACAAAAACAAUUAGAACACCUGAAUACAAACACUAGGCUUUUAAAUAAAAGGCAUAACUGCGACAUUUAUCCUAGCUAUAAUAAAGUAAUGGAAAAUUAGUGUGUAAUAAAUUUCCAUAGUUUAUAUAUAAAUAUUGAUAAUUUGAAAUAAGAUAUUAUAUAUGUAUAAUGAUUUAACAACAAAAUGUAAUAAAUUUGAAGUAUGUAAUUUAAACUUCCGACUUUAUGCAAAAAAAAAAAACAAGAACAAGUACAAGUAUACAAGUAUAUGUACAAAAUUUAAAAGCUCUAGCUUUAAUUUCGAGCUCUGUGUUAAACAAAUCUGAGGUGCUCUGGGGAAGGGGGU